CAGGGUGUGAUUAUAAAAAAAAUGUUUUAAGAAAUGAAAAUUUGUUAAUGUAUACCGACAAAAAUUGCAGCCACAAAUAGCAACAACAACAAAAAAUAAUACAAGUACAAAAAGUGGUGUGUAUAACAGUAUAGCAAACAAUUACAAUACAAAAAAACACACAUUUUCAUACACUUCGUAUUAUAAAAGUAUGAGAAAAAACAAUAAUAACAAAAACAAAAACAAUUUAGUUGUUGCUAUGUGUGUUUGUCUGCCUGUCGUCUCCUCUUGAAUAACCUAAAACAACAAUUACAAUAAAAACAAGAGCAGCAACAAACUACGCCAUCAAAUCACACGGCAUAAGAACAACUACUACAACAACAAUGAAACUUAUACAAGAAAAAGGAGACAUAAAAGUAGAAAAAAAACAAUAAAAACCGUGUUUCUUUUAUAAAUAUUAAAUCAGCAAAAUAUCUUUUUUCAUAAAUAAAUUAUUUGUCAAUAAAAUUGUUUUAUAAACUUUUGCAAACACUUUAAAGUUGUUGUGUAAUACUAUAUAGAAGACGGGUUGGUCUCUUAAUUUUUUUUUCUGUACACCAUUUUUUUCUUUUACUAUUUUGCAACGCCAUUUAUAAAUUACGGAAAUUUAUUGUUGUUUAAAUAGUUUUCUGAUUAAUUAUACAUUUUUAUAUUACUUGUGUGUAUCUUUAUCAUAACUUUCAAACAUAAUUAACAAAAAAAAAAAAAACAAGAACAAAUAAAAUUGGAAAAACAGGAAUUAAUUAAAAAAAAAUACGUACAACUAUGUCGACGUCUAUGAUUGGAACCUUAAAUCUCAACUGAAACGUAGUAAAUGCUAAAGUAUCAUAUCAAGGCGUAAUAUCUACAUCAAUCGUUCGUUUGCCUGCGCUGCAGCUGCUGCCAACGUUAGCAUACACUCACACACACACGCCACCAAAAUAACACUCAAUUGUGUUUGAAAUAUUACUCAACGUCAGGCGUUCGGCAUUUGCCGUUAUUAUUCGCCGCAAAUAUCAGUUGUUGUUUGUUGGCCGCACAAAAAGCUUAAAUACGAGUGUAACAGCAAGCAAUGAAUUUAGUUGUUUGUUGGUUGUCUUACCAGUUGGUUGGAUUUUCUAUUUAGUUGGGAAAAUGUGUGUAAAAGAAAUAAAGUUACUUGUUUAGGUGUGUGUAUGUGUAGAAAAGCAGAUUUUCUCAUACAUUAAAGAAUUAUUAUGUGAGUGUGUGUUUUUAAGGGGUGAUGGUGCUGGCUAAACAAUAUAAUUAAUUACACAUUGCAGUAAAAGAAACGCUGAGAUAACACAUUCCAAAACUAAAACCGAUGAAUAUAUAUGUUAAUGUAUUGACAACAUUGUUUUCUAUAAAAGUACCAAUUUAUACUAAGCAAAGACAACAACCAUAAUCAAACUAAAACAAUAUGAUGCACACAAAUACUCUAACAGAUGGCAGUAGUGAGAAGAAAACACAACUGAGUUAAAAAUAAAAAUAAAAGAAAAAUGUUUAAUGGAAAAAAUAUAUUCUUACAUGGCAACAUUGCUGAUUUUAUUUGGGCAAAACAAAAGUGUUGCCAUAUGUAUAAUAUUGUCAAAAUAAAUAAACUAAGUGUUGCCAGUAUAAAAAAAAACGCAACAAACACAACGGGUUAGCAAAAAUAAGAGAGCUACCAUAUGUUUAAGGUUGUCUUUGUAAAUAAAGUGGCAAUUAACACGCAGAGAGUUGACGUAUGAGUAAUAUUGUUGUUUAUUUUUGAAAUGUAACGUUUUUUUCCAUCAUUAAAAGUAAAACUAUAGAUAUUUUAUUGUGUUUUAUAAAAUUUUUUUAUUUUAAAAACUAUUUAAUAACAAUUUUUUAUUAACAAAUAUAACUGCAUUUAGUUUUAUUACUAACAAAGUGCCUUUAUUUUUUUUAAUAGCUAAAACCAAAAUAUAAUGUUAUUUAAUUGUAACUACUAAUACUUGUUAGAUGAGGAGACACGAAAAACAAACAAACAUUAUAAUUAACUUAACAUAAAAGAAAAUUUUGUUAUGUAUUAACUUUAA
rnacentral:lncRNA from 1 species